rnacentral:rRNA from 1 species
ACGGGGUGCNGCNGGGGCGAAACCUCCGCAAUGCGCGAAAGCGCGACGGGGGGACCCCGAGUGCCCUGCCUCUGGCAGGGCUUUUCCGGAGUGUAAACAGCUCCGGGAAUAAGGGGUGGGCAAGUUCUGGUGUCAGCCGCCGCGGUAAACCAGCACCUCAAGUGGUCAGGAUGAUUAUUGGGCCUAAAGCAUCCGUAGCCGGCUUUGUUAGUUUUCGGUUAAAUCCAUGUGCUCAACGCAUGGGCUGCCGAAAAUACUGCAUAGCUAGGGAGUGGGAGAGGUAGACGGUACUCGGUAGGAAGGGGUAAAAUCCUUUGAUCUAUCGAUGACCACCUGUGGCGAAGGCGGUCUACCAGAACACGUUCGACGGUGAGGGAUGAAAGCUGGGGGAGCAAACCGGAUUAGAUACCNGGGUAGUCCCAGCUGUAAACGAUGNNNANUCNAUGAUGCAUUGGCAUAUAGCCNGUGNAGUGUCGCAGGGAANNNNUUAAGUCUGNNNNNUGGGAAGUACGUACGCAAGUAUGAAACUUAAAGGAAUUGGCGGGGGGGCAC